rnacentral:lncRNA from 12 species
UGAGAAGGCAGAGGUAAAAGCCCAGCUUCUUGGCUUUGAAUCCUGCACCUUGAACCACAGGUCAGGCAAAUUGGUGGUCACCUUCAUGUCCCAACCUGCAGAGCAACCCACCUCAGGAAGCCUCGUCAUUCAGGGAGUGCAUAGCCAUUCUCAACACGUACCGUUGAUUGACUGAAUGAAUACUAGCCAUUGUUGGAAUGUAAAGUGAAGACGUUGGAUCAGCAGUUGAAAAGAUGGUCUGGCCAAGAAAAGAGAA